CGUGUAGGCGGGAAUAAAAGUCAGAUGUGAAAUCCCAGAGCUCAACUCUGGAACUGCAUCUGAAACUUUAUUUCUUGAGGAUAGACGGAGAAAACGGAAUUCCACGUGUAGCGGUGGAAUGCGUAGAUAUGUGGAAGAACACCCGUGGCGAAAGCGGUUUUCUAGUUUAUACCUGACGCUGAGGCGCGAAAGCUAGGGGAGCGAACAGGAUUAGAUACCCUGGUAGUCC
rnacentral:rRNA from 1 species